rnacentral:rRNA from 1 species
ACGUGCUACAAUGGCAUAUACAAUGAGACGCAAUACCGCGAGGUGGAGCAAAUCUAUAAAAUAUGUCCCAGUUCGGAUUGUUCUCUGCAACUCGAGAGCAUGAAGCCGGAAUCGCUAGUAAUCGUAGAUCAGCCAUGCUACGGUGAAUACGUUCCCGGGUCUUGUACUCACCGCCCGUCACACCAUGGGAGUUGAUUUCACUCGAAGCCGGAAUACUAAACUAGUUACCGUCCACAGUGGAAUCAGCGACUGGGGUGAAGUCGUAACAAGGUAACCGUAGGAGAACCUGCGGUUGGAUCACCUCCUUUCUAG